AAUAAUGGGAAGUAUUAGUGAUAAACAUUGUACAAAAAGAAAACACGUGUUGAACAUGAUAAGGGACAAUGACACACGUGCAACAUGUGUUGCAAGAGUUGAAGAGUUGUCGCCGGCAAAGGCGAGAUUGCUUAUAUCGAAACGCAAACGCCGCUAAAUCUCUCUCUUUACUUCGUCUUCUCUUAUGUGCAGCAAAGUUUACUUUUUUGUUCAUAGUGAUUUCAAACUCCAAAGUCGACACCUUUGGUUUUCUCUCGACCAUGAAAAGAAAGAGAGCGAAGCUCGCAAACCCGAAAUCAAGAAGGUGAAGCCUCUGUAGCUACUUACCAAAUAACUCAUCCUUCAUGUCUGGAGACAAUGGAUUCUCCAUCUGUUCAUGGUCUGUUUUGUUAUAGAACUAUCUGUGGCUUUGGGCUUGUGGUCUACAAUUCAAGCACCAGAAGAUCCAUCACAUUACCCCAAUUCGAACACCAAAAUUAUGUCCUUCAACACUUGUUGGGCUAUGAUCCUAUUGAUGGUGUUUACAAAGUCUUGUGUUUGACCAAUCCAAGAAGUGUUUCCAAGAAAGCAGAACGAGAGCUUGUUUUUCAGCUGUUGACACUUGGGAAUAAGAAGAAUUCGUGGAAGGUGAUUGAAAACAGCGAUCCUCACAACAGUGAUCCUCACUUUCCUUUUGGUUGCCAGAUAUGUAUAGAUGGUGUUGUGUAUUAUGAAGCUAAUCUUAGCACAGAGGAAGUUGCAGUCAUUAGUUUUGAUGUUAGCUAGGUCUGAAAAAUUCCAUGUUAUCAAAAUACCUGGAGAUGCCUAUUCUCUGUUUGUUCUUCCGUUGUACUUUUGGGAGGUUUCUUGAUCCUUGUCUGUAUCCUUGUCUGUAUUGGCGACAGUUUGUUUUUGGAUAAAAUAUUUGGGAAUAUUCAACCAAACUUCUCAGUGAGCUUAAGUAAGCAACUUCGGAUUCUUAGUAAAG
rnacentral:lncRNA from 1 species